UUCAAAUUUCUGCUAGCGCCCAGAUUUCUUUAUUAUUGUUUAUUUUAAAGUUUAAAUGGACGUAUUUACUUUAACUCCUCAGCUGGAUCAUAUUAUUGACUCGAAGGUUAUUAAGGAGGAAAUAGAUACUCUGGAGGUAAGCCUUAAAGUUAACUUAGAGGAAAAUUCGGCUCAUCCAGAAAAAAAUAAACAAGAAGUUUUUAAUAUACAGAAUACUGGACCUUAUGCUAACGAUAUAGAGGCGAUACCGGAUCAAAACAAAGAAAGAACUUUUGCUCUUUCUAAUCCCGCGCUUAACAAAAACUUUAAUUCGGAGGUUAAAGCAACUGUUCAUUCUAUGAAAGUGGAGGGGAACGUCUAUAAGGAAGGAGAAACUGAAGAAAAAGAGGGUUCUGCUGAAACUGAAACAAGUGAAGAAGAAUCUCCUCUGCCUGGACUUUUAGAACAACCUUUGAUACAAGAAGGCCCCCGCCAUCGCCGCUCCACUGAACUUUUCAUUCCAACUGAACUUCAAAAUAGAAAGGAUGUGGAAGUGCCAGAGGGCAAAGGCGAAAAGUUAGGCCAGAUAGCAUAUGUAGCAGAAAUGAUUGGAAAAACUACUGCUGCUGACUUGAGAUUGCUUCACCGUGCUCUCUUCGGACGGCCUGGGAAAUUACGGAAAGUUAAGCACAAUAUUAGGGAAUUUUGCGGCUUUGAUCCUUCUAGCAAAUUCGAAGAGGAAAGAGCUGAAAAGAUUUUAAAUAGAGCUACUUUACAAGAGUUAAAGGACAUGUCUGCCGUACUUGGACUGCAUCGCUCAGGUACGAAAGAUAGCGUAAUUGAGAACAUAUUGGCUUUUUUAAAGGAGCCGAAUAUUGAUUCUGUCCAGAUUAAAAUCACACCCAAAAAAAAAUCUCCAGCGAAAUCUAAUAAACGAAGCAGUUUUAAGAAUAACAGCGAAAAAAUGAAGAAAAGAAAUUUUAAUUCCUCCUACGAAGAAUCCAAUAAAGCUAUGAAAAGCGAAAACAAUCUUUUAUUGGUCACGAUCCAGAAUUCACCGAAAGCGAGGAUGAACAGCAGCCCCCGACUGGGUUUAUUACUGGAGAUGCGCCAUCCAGCGAAGAGCCAGUACUGGAAAAUGGUGAAAGCAUCAUCAGCGAAGAAGUCGUUUUAGAGCAUCUUAAAACUCACGAGGAGGGUAAACGCACAAAAUUUACUUUUCUAGCGCGCUUUAAGCGGCAUCCGCCGAUCCUUGCUUCGCUGUGCGCGUUACUCGACAUCUUCCACGUGGCUGUUCCGCUGCGGGGAUCUUUGUAUUGUUGCUGUCAUCCGCGCACUAUUUGUUAUUAAGCGAUACAGAGCCAACUUUUGCUCAGUAUUUUCCUCGUUUCUCGAAUUUUUAAAGGGCUCUGUGAAAGUUAAUGAACAGAACGGGCUUACGUAAAGUAAAAAAACCACUGGA